AACCUGCUGAGUUUCCUGCGUUUGUGCUGCGCUGCUGGCCUGUGCUGAGCCCCUUCUGCUCUGCCCUCCCCUCUGGAGCCUCUGGGUGGAUUCAUAACGACCCGAAUUCGGUGAUGCUGCCAUGUCACACCGCUAGCUGAGCUCUGCAGUGUGUCUCAGCCUCCUGCUGUGAGACCUGAGAAGGCAGCCAGUGUCACCUUAGCUGUUACAUCAGGAGAGGACAGCGCGGAGUACCAACCUCAGCUCCUGCUGUAAAACCAGUGUGGAAAAUCAGUGUUGGAGCCACCUCAGUAGUAUUGGCAACAGGUCACUCACAAGUGCUUCAGCAGCAUGCAGAGCUCUGAGAGGCUGUAGAACAUGAGCACAGAGACCAGAGCAAUGGAACAGACUGGAAUACUAUUUUCCUUGGAUUUGCAAGGAAUAGACUUCUGCAGCUUUCAUAAAGAUAAGAGAUUCCUGGAAACAGACUUCUGCUGACUUUUGAUUAUUAUGAAACAGAGCAGUCCUGGAAAGAAACCGGGGUCUGAAAACACAUCAGGGCAAUGGGCAGCUCAAUAAAUACACUGUUGUUAUCUGUCAUUGUAGCCUUCACAAGCUCACUACUUGAGCUGUUGUAUACAUGGGAGGGGCUGCCAGACCUUUCCAGUGACAGCUUUCUGCAUUGUGAGAUGCUUUUACUUCUUGUGUCUUGAGGGUGUUCAGCUAAAGCAGGCUGGGAGUGACAUCAAGAUAGGCUCCUGCAUGGGUCUGUGAGGGGUCUGGAAGCAGUUUGUCUCAAGGAUUUUCCUCAUUUUGUUCUCUGCAAUGUACAGAAGAAUC
rnacentral:lncRNA from 7 species